UAAGACGAACCGUGCGAACGUUGUUCGGAAUCACUGGGCUUAAAGGGCGCGUAGGCGGCCCGCCAAGUCAGGGGUGAAAUCUUUCGGCCCAACCGGAAAAGGGCCUCUGAUACUGGCGGGCUCGAGCGGGGUAGGGGCGGACGGAACUUCCGGUGGAGCGGUGAAAUGCGUUGAUAUCGGAAGGAACGCCGGUGGCGAAAGCGGUCCGCUGGACCCCUCCUGACGCUGAGGCGCGAAAGCCAGGGGAGCGAACGGGAUUAGAUACCCCGGUAGUCCUGGCCCUAAACGAUGGGUACUGGGUAGGGGGUUGACAUGGACUCCCUGCCGCAGCAAAAGUGGUAAGUACCCCGCCUGGGGAGUAUGGUCGCAAGGCUG
rnacentral:rRNA from 1 species